rnacentral:misc_RNA from 1 species
GAUGAAGAACGCAGCGAAAUGCGAUAAGUAAUGUGAAUUGCAGAAUUCAGUGAAUCAUCGAAUCUUUGAACGCACAUUGCGCCCGUUAGCAUUCUAGCGGGCAUGCCUGUCCGAGCGUCAUUUCAACCCUCAGGGUCCCCGUUCCGGCGGGGAACCUGGUGUUGGGGAUCGGCCCGCCCCGUGCGGCGCCGUCCCCCAAAUUCAGUGGCGGUCUCGCUGCAGCCUCCCCUGCGUAGUAGUUACAACCUCGCAUCGGAGCUCAGCGCGGCCACGCCGUAAAACCCCCGAGUUUCUGAACGUUGACCUCGGAUCAGGUAGGAAUACCCGCUGAACUUAAGCAUAUCAAUAAGCGGAGGA